rnacentral:tRNA from 1 species
CAGAGAAUAGUUUAAUUGAAGAAUUGUAGCUUUGGGAGUUAUUGGUGCAAAUAUGGUAGUUUUGCUUCUCUGA